GAUCGCGUUAGGGGCAGCGCUGCGUCUGGUGGAGUUCGUGGGAGUUGCUUCACGCACCACCAAGCCUUGUUGGAAUGGUACAGCUCCUCAGGUCUCGGACCUAGCCAGGGAUGGAGUAAGAUUUUACCGCACUUGUUGUUUUCAGGGAGUCUUUUAACUGCAUUUUAUUAGUGCUUUCCAGAGUCAGAAUCGUGGGGAUAUUUUAUCAUCUGGAGUGUCUCUGCCAUGCUGAUCUAAGCUCAAACCUGCCAGUUUAUGGGAGGUGACAGACGAUAAACACCCUAUAACAGCUGAGUGUUGCAGAAAAUAUCUGCCUCUGAGAACUCAGGAGGAAUUACCUUGUGGGCGCAAAGGGAGUGAGUCAUACCUGUAAGCUUGGAAAUGAGAGUUCAUUUGAGCCUCUUCAUCCAGUCAGCGGGUUUCCUAGGCAACCACUUAUGUAUGCAGUAAUUUAAAGAUGAGGAACUAAGAGGAGAAACAAAUGGAAGAAACCAGAGGUACUUUUAAUGGAAUGGAGCAAACCACUGCACAGAGCCUAUUUGAAACCAUUGAGGCGGAUGCAAAGAAAGCGGUAUCCCUACAAGCUGUGUGUCACCCAGACUGGCGGUAAUCACUACAGCUACGGAAGUCACUGGUUUGUGGAGAUAAGACAUAGAAGAUGUGUCAGAAAUGACUGGCUAAUAUAAAAGUUUAAGUAGCAGCACCAGAGAAUGAAUUCUUUUUAACAUUUACUUAUUUAUAAAUUUCCUUCACCUCCUUCUUUUUUGGCAGCCGUCAGAUUGUUCUCUGUAUCUAUGGGUUUGCUUAUGUUUUGUUUAUUCAUUUGUCUUGU